AUCACUUAAUUUCACUGUCCUUCAGAGGCAUAACUAGUAACCCACAUUUACUUUUGUCUGUUCAGUGCUUAUAAAAUGCUCAGUUUUAUUCCCGGAGUGUUCUCUUAUGCAAGGAUAAGGCUAUUUUCUUAGAAGAAAUUUGCAAGUACUCUUGACCAGUAGUUUUUAAACAUUGUGUUUGCUGUGGAAGGUGUCAUUUUCUUCUUUGUAAUUGUAAAUGCUUCAGCACCACUGAAAAUCUAAUUAACCUUAUAAAAAGAAGAGCACACUGAUAUUUGUAGGGAGAAUGAAGAAUGUAGAACAGAGUUAAGCUGAGAAAGUAAAGGAUAAUAUUUAGUUGCAGCCAUGGUAAUGAUCACGGGGACACUCUUGUUUCAGAAGCUCUGUGACAAACACAGUCCCUUUGAAUAGAUGGCUUUUAUUCUGCAAGCAACUCAUUUCUCCCUGAAACUGCACCCAGCCAGCCCCAUGAGGCAGUGUUAAGGAUAUUACAGUUCAGAGAAGCUAGUUUUCAGGCAAAAUCUGAAAUCCAGGGCCUCACAAUGUACUUAAGCAUUUUGAUGGAAAAACUAUUAGCCUUACAUUGUGGCUGUGUCUUUAAUUCCUUCAGUUUUAGCUGGCUACCUUCAGCUGACAGGACCUGAGGGAAUGGCUCGAAGCUGUGUCAGGGGAGGAUUAGGUUGGAUAAUAGGAAAAUGUUCUUCACCCAGAGAGUGUCUGGCCACUGAAUAAGCUCUCUAUGGAAGUGGCCACACCACAAAGCCUGACAGAGUUCAAGAAGCAUUUGGACAAUGCUCUAGGGUAGAUGGUGGGAAAUGCUGGGGUGUCCUGUUUAGGGCCGGGAGUUGCACGUGGAUGAUCCUUGUGGGUCCCUUUAAAGUCAGGAUAUUUUGUGAUUCUUUUCAACAUUGACCUUAUUUUGCUAGAACAGUCCUUUUGCAGUGUGACAAUGGGAUACUUUUCCUGGUGGUGAACAUCCUUGCACAGCUGGUAACUACUGGAGUGUGAAGUGCGAGUGUGGUUGAGUGGUCUGAAAUGCUGAGACAGCAGAGUAGGUUAAGGGCAGUAUUUUGCACUGUACUGAUAAGGGGAAGUUGAUUUCUGGUGUACAUUUUUACACUUGCACAAUAUAUGUACAUGUAUAUACAUGAAAAUAUAUGCAGGACCUUUCCCCACCCCAAAAUUCCAAACCUUGCCUCUGAAAUUAAUAUAGCUGAAAUAUCUU
rnacentral:lncRNA from 1 species